ACUCAAAUGAAUAGACGGGGACCCGCACAAGCGGUGGAGGAUGUGGUUUAAUUCGACGCAACGCGAAGAACCUUACCAAGGCUUGACAUCCACUGAAUCUUUUAGAAAUAGAGGAGUGCCCGAAAGGGAACAGUGAGACAGGUGGUGCAUGGCUGUCGUCAGCUCGUGUCGUGAGAUGUUGGGUUAAGUCCCGCAACGAGCGCAACCCUCGAUGUUAGUUACCAUCAUUAAGUUGGGGACUCUAACGUGACUGCCGGUGAUAAGCCGGAGGAAGGUGAGGACGACGUCAAGUCAUCAUGCCCCUUACGUCUUGGGCUACACACGUCCUACAAUGGCAUAGACAAAGGGCUGCAAAGCUGCAAAGUUGAGCGAAUCCCAUAAACUAUGUCUCAGUUCGGAUUGCAGGCUGAAACCCGCCUGCAUGAAGUUGGAAUCGCUAGUAACCGUAGAUCAGCAUGCUACGGUGAAUACGUUCCCGGGUCUUGUACACACCGCCCGU
rnacentral:rRNA from 1 species